UGGGGAAUUUUGGACAAUGGGGGCAACCCUGAUCCAGCCAUGCCGCGUGAGUGAAGAAGGCCUUCGGGUUGUAAAGCUCUUUCGGCCGGGAAGAAAUCGCACAGGCUAAUACUCUGUGUGGAUGACGGUACCGGAAUAAGAAGCACCGGCUAACUACGUGCCAGCAGCCGCGGUAAUACGUAGGGUGCGAGCGUUAAUCGGAAUUACUGGGCGUAAAGCGUGCGCAGGCGGUUUGAUAAGACAGGCGUGAAAUCCCCGGGCUUAACCUGGGAACUGCGCUUGUGACUGUCUCACUAGAGUACGGCAGAGGGGGGUGGAAUUCCACGUGUAGCAGUGAAAUGCGUAGAGAUGUGGAGGAACACCGAUGGCGAAGGCAGCCCCCUGGGUCGAUACUGACGCUCAUGCACGAAAGCGUGGGGAGCAAACA
rnacentral:rRNA from 1 species